CACCUUACAGGCCAGGGUCCUGUGCUCCUGCCUGGCUGGCCCUGUCCCACCGCCCCCUGACCUGCUGCCCUGUCAGAGAGGACCCCAGGGGCCAGGGAAUGGCAUCACUUUCCCUUCUGUGGGGCUGGGUGCUCAUGGCUGCCCUGAGCACAGGUGCCAAUGCAAGCUUGGUGGAGCAAAGGCCCAGGUGGGCCCUGGUACGUCCGGGACAGGCUGAAACCCUGAGCUGCUUCCUGAGGGAUGCCCAGUACCCCUGGAUGAGCUGGUACCAACAGGAUCUCCAGGGGCAACUCCAGGUGCUGGCCAGUCUGCGGUUUUCUGGGGACAAGGAUGACGUAUCCCUUCCUGGAGCGGAUUACCAGGUCACACGGGUCAAUGACAAGGAGCUGAGGCUGCAGGUGGCCAAUGUGACCCAGGGCAGAACUCUGUACUGCACCUGCAGCAAAGACACAGUGAACGCUGGCUGCGUAGCACAGCGAUGGACCACAGGUCUGGACCACAUGCAGACCGUGGCUUUGCCGCCUGUAAGCUGCGGGGAAGACUGCAUCUCCCUGAAAGGCAGUUUCUGUGUCUGUAAAGUACAGAGAGCAACUCUACUCAGUUCAGAGGGCCCCUGCGGGGACGAAGCGUAA